rnacentral:rRNA from 1 species
AUUGAACGCUGGCGGCAGGCCUAACACAUGCAAGUCGAACGAGUGGCGGACGGGUGAGUAAUGUCUGGGAAACUGCCUGAUGGAGGGGGAUAACUACUGGAAACGGUAGCUAAUACCGCAUACCAUCGGAUGUGCCCAGAUGGGAUUGGCUAGUUGGUGGGGUAAAGGCUCACCGAGGCGACGAUCCCUAGCUGGUAUGAGAGGAUGACCAGCCACACUGGAACUGGGACACGGUCCAGACUCCUACGGGAGGCAGCAGUGGGGAAUAUUGCACAAUGGGCGCAAGCAUGAUGCAGCCAUGCCGCGUGUAUGAAGAAGGCCUGCGGGUUGUAAAGUACUUUCAGCGGGGAGGCGUUACCCGCAGAAGAAGCACCGGCUAACUCAGUGCCAGCAGCCGCGGUAAUUC